UACGGUGACAUCACGUUGAAACACCGCUUCCCGUACAAUCACCGAAGUUAAGAAACGCCGAGACUAGUUAUUACCUUGAUGAGUGACCGCUUGGGAAUACCAGAUGAUGUA